rnacentral:rRNA from 1 species
UACGUAGGGUGCAAGCGUUAAUCGGAAUUACUGGGCGUAAAGCGUGCGCAGGCGGUUAUGUAAGACAGUUGUGAAAUCCCCGGGCUCAACCUGGGAACUGCAUCUGUGACUGCAUAGCUAGAGUACGGUAGAGGGGGAUGGAAUUCCGCGUGUAGCAGUGAAAUGCGUAGAUAUGCGGAGGAACACCGAUGGCGAAGGCAAUCCCCUGGACCUGUACUGACGCUCAUGCACGAAAGGCGUGGGGAGCAAACAGG